UACGUAGGGUGCGAGCGUUAAUCGGAAUUACUGGGCGUAAAGCGUGCGCAGGCGGCGCGUUAAGACAGGUGUGAAAGCCCCGAGCUUAACUUGGGAAUUGCGCUUGUGACUGGCGUGCUGGAGUGUGGCAGAGGAGACUGGAAUUCCUGGUGUAGCAGUGAAAUGCGUAGAUAUCAGGAGGAACACCGAUGGCGAAGGCAGGUCUCUGGGCUGACACUGACGCUCAUGCACGAAAGCGUGGGGAGCAAACAGG
rnacentral:rRNA from 1 species